GUUGCCAGCAAGUAAUGUUGGGGACGUCAGAUGGAACGUGCCGGUGGACAAACCGGAGGAAGGUGGGGACGACGGUCAAGUCAUCAUGGCCCUUAUGUCCUGGGCUACACACGUGCUACAAUGGCCGGUACAGAGCGCAGCGAAGCCGCGAGGCAAAGCGAAUCGCAAAAAGCCGGUCUCAGUACGGAUUGGAGUCUGAAACUCGACUCCAUGAAGUUGGAAUCGCUAGUAAUCGCGCAUCAGCAUGGCGCGGUGAAUACGUUCCCGGGCCUU
rnacentral:rRNA from 1 species